GAAGAAUCACAAAAGAAGUGAAUAUGCCCUGCCCCACCUUAACUGAUGACAUUCCACCACAAAAGAAGUGUAAAUGGCCGGUCCUUGCCUUAAGUGAUGAUAUUACCUUGUGAAAGUCCUUUUCCUGGCUCAUCCUGGCUCAAAAAGCACCCCCACUGAGCACCUUGCGACCCCCCACUCCUGCCUGCCAGAAAACAACCCCCCUUUGACUGUAAUUUUCCUUUACCUACCCAAAUCCUAUAAAAUGGCCCCACCCCUAUCUCCCUUUGCUGACUCUCUUUUCGGACUCAGCCCACCUGCACCCAGGUGAUUAAAAGCUUUAUUGCUCACACAAAGCCUGUUUGGUGGUCUCUUCACAUGGACGUGCAUGAAAUUUGGUGCCGUGACUCAGAUCGGGGGACCUCCCUUGGGAGAUCAAUCCCCUGUCCUCCUGUUGUUUGCUCCAUGAGAAAGAUCCACCUACGACCUCAGGUCCUCAGACUGACCAGCCCAAGGAACAUCUCACCAAUUUUAAAUCAGGUAAGCGGCCUCUUCUUACUCUCUUCUCCAACCUCUCUCACUGUCCCUCAACCAUUUUCUCCUUUCCACUCUUCAAUCUCUCCCUUCUCUUAAUUUCAAUUCCCUUCAUUUUCUGGGAGAGACAAAGGAGACACGUUUUAUCCGUGGACCCAAAACUCCAGCACCGGUCACGGACUAGGAAGGCAGACUUCCCUUGGUGUUUAAUCAUUGCAAGGACACCUCUCUGAUUAUUCAUCCACAUUUCAAAGGUGUCAGACCACGCAGGGAUGCCUGCCGUGGUCCUUCACCCUUAGCGACAAGUCCCGCUUUUCUGGGAAAGGGGCAAGUACCCCAACCCCUUCUCUCCUUGUCUCUACCCCUUCUCUGCUUUUCUGGGGGAGGGGCAAGUACCCCUCAACCCCUUCUCCUUCAACCUUAGUGGCAAGUCCCGCUUUUCUGGGGGAGGGGCAAGUACCCCUCAACCCCUUCUCCUUCACUCUUAGUGGCAAGUCCCACUUUUCUAGAGGAGGGGGCAAGUACCCCAACCUCAUAUCUCUGUGCUCCAAUCCCUUAUUUCCAUGCCGCGACCCCUUAUUUCCGUGCCCCGACCCCUUAUUUCCAUGCCCCGACCCCUUAUUUCCAUGCCCCAUCCCUUAUUUCUAUGCCUCAACCUCUUAUCUCUGUGCCCCAACCCCUUUUCCCACUUUUCUGGAAGGUAAGAACCCCCAAACCCCUUCCCUCCAUUUCUCUACUCUCUCUUUUCUCUAGGCUUGCUUCCUUCACUAUAGGCAACUUUCCACCCUCCAUUCCUCCUUCUACUCCCUUGGCCUGUGUUCUCAAAAACUUAAAACCUCUUCAACUCACAUCUGACCUAAAACCUAAAUGCCUUAUUUUCUUCUGCAAUGCCGCUUGACCCCAGUACAAACUUGACAGUAGUUCCAAAUAGCCAGAAAAUGGCACUUUGAAUUUUUCCAUCCUGCAAGAUCUAAAUAAUUCUUGUCAUAAAAUAGGUAAACGGUCUGAGGUGCCUGACGUCCAGGCAUUCUUUUACACAUUAGUCACUUCCUAGUCUCUGUGCCCAGUGCAACUCGUCCCAAAUCUUCCUUCUUUCCCUCCCACCUGUCCCCUCAGUACCAACCCCAAGCAUUGCUGAGUCUUUCUAAUCUUCCUUUUCUGCAGACCCAUCUGACCUCUCCCUUCCUCCCCAGGCUGCUCCUUGCCAGGCUGAGCUAGGUCCCAAUUCUUCCUCAGCCUCUGCUCCUCCAUGCUAUAAUCUUUUUAUCACCUCCCCUCCUCACACUGGGUCCUGCUUACAGUUUCGUUACGUGACUAGCCCUCCCCAUCCUGCCCAGCAAUUUACUCUUAAAAAAGUGGCUGGAGCUAAAGGCAUAGUCAAGGUUAAUGCUCCUUUUUCUUUAUCCCAAAUCAGAUAGGGUUUAGGCUCUUUUUCAUCAAAUAUAAAAACCCAGCCCAGUUCAUGACUUGUUUGGCAACAACCCUGAGACACUUUACAGCCCUAGACCCUAAAACGUCAAAAGGCCGUCUUAUUCUCAAAAUACAUUUUAUUACCCAAUCUGCUCCCGACAUUAAAUAAAACUCCAAAAAUUAAAUUCCGGCCCUCAAACCCCACAACAGGAUUUAAUUAACCUCGCCUUCAAGGUGUAUAAUAAUAGAAAAUAGUUGCAAUUCCUUGCCUCCACUGUGAGACAAACCCCAGCCACAUCUCCAGCACACAAGAACUUCCAAACGCCUGAACCGCAGCGGCCACGCGUUCCUCCAGAACCUCCUCCCACAGGAGCUUGCUACAUGUGCCGGGAAUCUGGCCACUGGGCCAAGGAAUGCCUGCAGCCCAGGAUUCCUCCUAAGCCGCGUCCCAUCUGUGUGGGACCCCACUGAAAAUCGGACUGUUCAACUCACCUGGCAGCCACUCCCAGAGCCCCUGGAACUCUGGCCCAAGCCUCUCUGACUGACUCCUUCCCAGAUCUUCUCGGCUUAGCGGCUGAAGACUGACACUGCCGGAUCACCUCGGAAGCCCCCUAGAACGUCACUGACGCCGAGCUUCAGGUAACUCUCACAGUGGAAGGUAAGCCCGUCCCCUUCUUAAUCAAUACGGAGGCUACCCACUCCACAUUACCCUCUUUUCAAGGGCCUGUUUCCCUUGCCUCCAUAACUGUUGUGGGUAUUGAUGGCCAAGCUUCUAAACCUCUUAAAACUCCCCAACUCUGGUGCCAACUUAGACAAUACUCUUUUAAGCACUCCUUUGUAGUUAUCCCCACCUGCCCAGUUCCCUGAUUAGGCUGAGACACUUUAACUAAAUUAUCUGCUUCCCUGACUAUUCCUGGACUACAGCUGUAUCUCAUUGCCGCCCUUCUUCCCAAUCCAAAGCCUCCUUUGCGUCCUCCUCUUGUAUUCCCCCACCUUAACCCACAAGUAUAAGAUACCUCUACUCCCUCCUUGGGGACUGAUCAUGCACCCCUUACCAUCUCAUUAAAACCUAAUCACCCUUACCCCACUCAACGCCAAUAUCCCAUCCCGCAGCAUGCUUUAAAAAGAUUAAAGCCUGUUAUCACUCGCCUGCUACAGCAUAGUCUUUUAAAGCCUAUAAACUCUCCUUACAAUUCCCCCAUUUUACCUGUCCUAAAACCAGACAAGCCUUACAAGUUAGUUCAGGACCUGCACAUUAUCAAUCAAAUUGUUUUGCCUAUCCACCCUGUGGUGCCCAACCCGUACACUCUUUUGUCCUGAAUACCUUCCUCCACAACUCACUAUUCCCUGCUUGAUCUUAAAGACGCUUUUUUCACUAUUCCCCUGCACCCCUCGUCCCAGCCUCUCUUUGCUUUCAUUUGGACUGACCUUGACACCAUCAAGCUCAGCAAACUACCUAGGCUGUACUGCCGCAAAGCUUCACAGACAGCCCCCAUUACUUCAAUCAAGCCCAAAUUUCUUCCUCAUCUGUUACCUAUCUCGGCAUAAUUCUCAUAAAAACACACGUGCUCUCCCUGCCAAUCGUGUCUGACUGAUCUCUCAAACCCCAGCACCUCCUACAAAACAACAACUCCUUUCCUUCCUAGGCAUGGUUAGCGCAGUCAGAAUUCUUACACAAGAGCCAGGACCACACCCUGUAGCCUUUCUGUCCAAACAACUUGACCUUACUGUUUUAGCCUAGCCCUCAUGUCUGCAUGCAGUGGCUGCCGCUGCUUUAAUACUUUUAGAGGCCCUCAAAAUCACAAACUAUGCUCAACUCACUCUCUACAGUUCUCAUAACUUCCAAAAUCUAUUUUCUUCCUCAUACCUGACGCAUAUACUUUCUGCUUCCCGGCUCCUUCAGCUGUACACUCUUUGUUGAGUCUCCCACAAUUACUGUUGUUCCUGGCCCAGACUUCAAUCCGGCCUCCCACAUUAUUCCUGAUACCACACCUGACCCCCAUGACUGUAUCUCUCUGAUCCACCUGACAUUCACCCCAUUUCCCCAAAUUUCCUUCUUUCCUGUUCCUCACCCUGAUCACGCUUGAUUUAUUGAUGGCGGUUCCACCAGGCCUAAUCGCCACACACCAGCAAAGGCAGUUUAUACUAUAGUACAAGCCACUAGCCUGCCUCUUAGAACAUCUCAUUUCCUUUCCAUCAUGGGAAUCUAUCCUCAAGGAAAUAACUUCUCAGUGUUCCAUCUGCUAUUCUACUACUCCUCAGGGAUUAUUCAGGCCUCCUCCCUUCCCUACACAUCAAGCUCAAGGAUUUGCCCCACCCAGGACUGGCAAAUUAGCUUUACUCAACAUGCCCUGAGACCGAUAACUAAAAAAACCUCUUAGUCUAGGUAGAUACUUUCACUGGAUAGGUAGAGGCCUUUCCUACAGGUCUGAGAAGGCCCCCGCAGUCAUUUCUUCCAUUCUGUCAGACAUAAUUCCUCAGUUUAGCCUUCCCACCUCAAUACAGUCUGAUAACAGACGAGCCUUUAUUAGUCAAAUCAGCCAAGCAGUUUUUCAGGCUCUUAGUAUUCAGUGAAACCUUUAUAUCCCUUAUGGUCCUCCGUCUUCAAGAAAAGUAGAAUGGACUAAAGGUCUUUUAAAAACACACCUCACCAAGCUCAGCCACCAACUUAAAAAGGACUGGACAAUACUUUUACCACUUUCCCUUCUCAGAAUUCAGGCCUGUCCUCGGAAUGCUACAGGGUACAGCCCAUUUAAGCUCCUGUAUAGAUGCUCCUUUUUAUUAGGCCCCAGUCUCAUUCCAGACACCAGACCAACUUAGACUGUGCCCCAAAAAAACUUGUCAUCCCUACUAUCUUCUGUCUAGUCAUACUCCUAUUCACCAUUCUCAACGACUCAUACAUGCCUUGCUCUGGUUUACACUGCCGGUUUACACUGUUUUUCCAAGCCAUCACAGCUGAUAUCUCCUGGUGCUAUCCCCAAACUGUCACUUUUAACUCUUGAAGUAAAUAAAUAAUCUUUGCUGGCAGGACUAUGCCGAAUCUCCUUAAGCACUCUCUAAUCAGAUAUCCUGAGUCGUCCCAAUUCUCAGACCUUUUAUACCUGUUUUUCUCCUUCUGUUAUUCCAUUUAGUUUCUCAAUUCAUCCAAAACCGUAUCUAGGCCAUCACCAAUCACUCUAUAUGACAAAUGUUUCUUCUAACAUCCCCACAAUAUCACCCCUUACCACAAGACCUCCCUUCAGCUUAAUCUCUCCCACUCUAGGUUCCCACGCCGCCCCUAAUCCCGCUUGAAGCAGCCCUGAGAAACAUCGUCCAUUCUCUCUCCAUAUCACCCCCCAAAAAUUUUCGCUGCCCCAACACUUCAACACUUUUUUGUUUUAUUUUUCUUAUUAAUAUAAGAAGGCAGGAAUGUCAGGCCUCUGAGCCCGAGCCAAGCCAUCACGUCCCCUGUGACUUGCACAUAUACGCCCAGGUGGCCUAAAGUAACUGAAGAAUCACAAAAGAAGUGAAAAUGCCCUGCCCCACCUUAACUGAUGACAUUCCACCACAAAAGAAGUGUAAAUGGCUGGUCCUUGCCUUAAGUGAUGACAUUACCUUGUGAAAGUCCUUUUCCUGGCUCAUCCUGGUUCAAAAAGCACCCCCACUGAGCACCUUGCAACCCCCACUCCUGCCUGCCAGAGAACAACCCCCCUUUGACUGUAAUUUUCCUUUACCUACCCAAAUCCUAUAAAACGGCCCCACCCCUAUCUCCCUUUGCUGACUCUCUUUUCGGACUCAGCCCACCUGCACCCAGGUGAUUAAAAGCUUUAUUGCUCACACAAAGCCUGUUUGGUGGUCUCUUCACAGGGACACGCAUGAAAAAAAUGUGCUGGGAACAGGAGAUACCAGGUAGUUCUGCCCUCAGGGCCCACUCAUGGCAGGUAGUGGUAAGCCAAGCAUUCUGGACCUUGGGCCACCAGGUGGCAUAUGCAAGCACAGUUUUAGUGAGUGCAGGUGGGCAAAUUCUUGAGACUCCAGGCAGUCUUCCUGUAUGCUGGCAGUGGGAGUGGUAAGCCAGAUCCGUGGGUGAGUCCUUAGGCCCUUAAGCCGAAUGUAUGGCCUGGAUUAUGGUAGUAGUGAUGGCAGGAUAAUUUUGGGGCUCUCAUGUGGCACUCACUAAUGUUAGCUGUUGGUAUGAUGGGCUGAGCAAGCUGGUCCCCAGGUUCCUUGGUUGUGCAUGUGCAUGGAUGUAGUUGAUGGUAUUGAUGACAGGCUAUAUGGGCUCACCUUCAGGAUUCCAGAAGUAGGGUACAGAUGCUAGAGGUGGUAGAAGGGGUUGGGUAAUCCCCAGGUCCCUGGGAGGGGUGCUCAUGCUUUGGGUGGGGGAAGCAAUGGUGACAGGUCUGGUGGGCCUGAUCUCAGGGCAUCAGGGUGUGCAGAGCUCCAGGAGGUAGUAGGCAGGGCAGGCAGUCUGUGGUGUUGGUUGUGGAGAGCCUGACCUCUGGGCUGGUGCUAGAGUGUGGUGAUCCUGCUGUUGAGUAUGGGUGGGGUUGCUAUCAGUGGUCCCCUGCAGGGAGCUCUCAGGUUCUGAGGGGUGUACACUUUCAACUCUGGCAGUAGCAGUGUCCACAGUGGUGUGUGUGAAGAGCCUGCACUCAUGACAUGCACUAGAGCACAGAGGCCAUGCUUUUGAAGGGGGCAGGGUUGCUAUUCAGAGCCCCAAACAGGCACUUCUCAGUUUCUGGGUAGUGUUUGCUUUGUCUCCUGGCUGCAGUCAGUGACUGCUAUCAUGUUCAAAGGGGUCAGAUGGAUCCUGCCUUUCUGGGUGUGAACUCAAGCACAGAGGCUGUGUUGUUGGUGGGAAUGGGGUUACUAUUUGCAUCCUCAGACAGGCAGCUGUCAGGCUCACUCACUUUGGCUCCCCGUGGCAGCAGCACUAUUGUGAUAUGCAGAAAGGGGAAGGGAUCCAUUUUCACAUGAGCCCAAGUACUGAGAACAUACUGCUAAUAGGGAUGUGGUUACUGUUUACAUACCCAGACUCUCAGAUUUAAGGUUUGCUUGCUUUGGCUUUCAGAGGCAGCAGUGGCUGCAGCAGUGUGGAGAGUUGGGGAAGGGAUCUUGACCUCUGUGCAUAAGCUAGAGCACAAAGGCCAUGCUGCUAGUUAGGGCAGGGUGGUUCCCUGCCCUAAUGGUACCAGGUACCAUUGGUAUCAUUAUACCAGGCAGGGAGCUCUUGGGUUCUGCCAAGCACAUGCACUGGUUCCCUUUGUCUCAGGAGAAGCCUCCUUGAUGUACUGCGCUAUCAUUUCCUUGAGGAGUUGUACUCCCUGUGGGUUAGAGUGCUGGGGACCCCACAACACCAUCGGGUCCAGCCACCAUUGUGCCACUGAAGCCCUCCAGGUGGAUGCCAGGGAAUUCUACUGGGGGUUCACAGGGUGUGAAGAUGUGGAAUUGUUGGUUCUCAGAAGAGGAUGCAGUCUGGUGGAAGCUGGACUCUGGCCAUAGUGCCCUACUGCAGCUGCUUAUGUCUUGCUAUGUGAUGUGGUGCAAGUUUCCCGCUUGCAGCAAUGCCCUGGCAGGCCUCUAGAUCACCACGCUGUAGAGUCCCCACCUAUGCUAAUCUCAGAGCUGUAUAGAUGGAAGAGGUCUCCUGUGGUUAGGAUUGCAGUAGUCUAAGGAAAUCUAAUGGAAACUUAGAAAAAGAAUGAAAACUCUAUCCCUAGUUUUCUAAGGAACACAUAUGGCACAGAGACAGGACUGGCAGCAAACAAAGAUAAAUGAAGAGUCACCCUCAGUGAAAUCCUGACUGCUGCUUUAAGUUCUCUACCACAUUUUGGAUUUUAGUGUUAGGAUUAUUUCUGAAGGAGUCUUCUGAACCUCAUGUUACUUACAGGAAAAACAAUAGAAUUUGAUUUACAUAAAUGUCCUUCUCAAACCCUUUGAUCAAUGGUGCUCAAGUUCCAUUUUAUCUGUAUACCCAUAGUUAUUCAAUUGUUUAACUCAUUUUCUGAGCAACCAAGUUCUCAGUGCAGAGAACUCAAUUAUGUUGUUUGCUUUUCUGAUCCACCAUCUUCUGUGUGCACUCAUGAUAGGAUGAACAUGGGAUGAAAUCAUAUUUGUAAUGAAUUAUAGAAUGAUCCCUGAAGGUAGAGUACUUGUAAUUAUAUUUAUAUAUCUUUUGUGGUUCAUAUCUCAUAAGCGAUAGAUCCAUGCUUAUCAUGUUAAUCGUGUUAUUCAUUGGAUUUAGGAUCUGACUUGCCUCCACCGGAGACUGCUUCCAAGUCUGAUUUUUGCAAGUCACUGAACAUUUCUUCCUGGUCGUAAAAUAUUCAUUAUUUCAACUAAUAGUAAUAUGGUUUUCUUUCUAAUGUAUUCAUAGCCCAUAGCUUUUUGAGCUCUAGACAGACUGAUUUGAACCUUUUAAGCAAUAAAUGAGAAGAAUCAUUUUUUGAAAUAGAUAAUAUUAUUUUAUUUAGAAUAACAACAUGCCACUUGGGGAGAUAUUUUUUGUAUAUCUAAUUGCCACUUGGGGAGUUUUUUUUUUGUAUAUCUAAAAGUUCUCACCAGAAUAUACUUUAUACAGAACUAUUGCAAACAAACUUGGAAUCAUAAAAUUUCGAGGCAUACUUUGUGGAAAUAUACCAUAAAUUGUGUAAAUAUCUGAGUAUAAAGUGGAGCUGUUUCGAGACUGACUGUAUUUAAGUAAUGGAGAUGCAUAUAAAACUUAGAUUUUAAAUAUUUUAUUAAUCUUGGCAUAGUGCAUCCUAAUUAGGCAGGAAAAGACCUGGAGGGAUGGAAAGGUAUUCCCACACCUUCUUCUCAUGCAUAUUGUCUUUAGUCAUUACUUACAAUUAUUAUUUUUUGUUUGGUGGUUUUUGGUUUCAAAGGGAUAAUUACUUAAAAGGAAAGAUACUGACUAAAAUAUUUGCUUUGUGUUAGUUUAAUUUAAUGAUCUAAUAUUUGUGUUAUUUUAUCCAUGAAAGCAAUACUUCUGCCUGCAAGUAUCUAAACCAGUCAUAUAUUUCUACCUCACCUUCUUUGGUAAACAGGCCUUCAUUAUUUUAUUCUUGAUCAGUUGAAAUUUAAACUGAAAUAAAAUACACUUAUUCAAAAUAUUUAAAUUAUAUAAAAACAAAAAUAUUUAGAAAGACUGAGAUCAUUUAUAGUAUCCUUAGUUUUUCUCUAGAGGGUUUAGCAGCAGGUUGCUUCUAAUUCGGACUUUAUGUAAUUAUAAAAUUCUGAAAAAAAUGUUAACUAGAAACUAUCUUGUGUUUAUGUUUAAUUACUUUAAUAAUAAUUGUUGUGCUUCAUUCAUUAUUGAGGAAAAAUUGUAAGCCUUCUUUCCUAGUUCUCACAUUAUUUUACCAACUACGGGGCAUUAUGGCAAUCAUACCCUACUGAGGUUGAGUAUUAAAAAAUAAAUAUUUAAAAUUAAAAUACAGCUUGUCACAUAGAAUGAGCACCUGAUGCCAUUUAUGAGGAACAGGUGGAUGUUUAUUCAGGCAUGUUUUAUGUACCAGCAGGAAUUAUUUCAAUUAAAUAUCAAUGUCACUGCCUUUAGAGAAGACUGAAACAAGAGCAAAGGAUACACAUACACACAGACACACACACAGGCAUGUAGGUGACACAGGAACUUAAGGUAUCUGAACUGAACCAGAUUUACAAAAAAGAUUGGUUCAAUUUGUCUAGAUUGCCUAAAGGAAGAGGUAGUUGCCUCUAAAAUAGAUCAAGAGAUUUUGAUCUUUGUUGUUGCAUUGAAAUGUGCGAUUCUGCAGGUGCUAUUAUUCUUUGAAACUUUCUUUGGGUGAAUUGAACAUAAUAUUCUUAGGUGGGUUGGGAAAUAAAAAUGACUAGGAAAAACAUGUGUCUUUGCAUUCAGUAUAUAGUGUCUUGAAUUAGCAAGUUAUCUAAGUUGUGUUAAUGGAGAAAAAUACGCAAGAUAAAUAUUUGGGUUAUCACAAAGGCAAAUAUUCCUAAUUAGUGAGAGUGAGGGAGGAGAAGGAGACAGAGAAAAAAUAUGAAUAACUUAUUCAAAUAUACUUCUAUUUUUAAAAUACUCCAAGAUAUUGUGAUCUGUAAAUGUGUAUAUAUGUUUUCACAUCAAUUAUUGCAACUUAAUAUGGGAAAAAUUAAGGCUUGUUUUAAUACCAAAAUACCACUCAACAACACAGUACAUGAGCAGCUGUUCACACUGAAUGAUGUAGAUAAUUAAUCUAAUUUUCCCUGUGCUUCAUUUUGUGUUCUAUUAGUUUUCUUAUUCAAACUUUCAAGUCACAAAUCUGAUUUAAAACCUCUUAACUGGUCUAAUGCAUAAUGUGUUCUCUCUGCAUUCAGUGUCUAGCAGUAAGCCGCAAAGCUGGAAUACUAAUUUGUUUUGGAAUGUGAAAAACACUCAAUAAUCAAAUAAUAAAAUCCUGGAUCCACCAUUUCUUAAUGACACGACCAAAUGAGUCCAAUGCCUUGAAAUGUGAGCAUAAGUUAAAAAAUAGAACAAAGAAGAAUAUAACAAUGUGAAUGAAGAAAGGAGAACCAUGCUAACAAGAACACCAUAUUCAAUAUAUUUGGUCUCUAUUCAAAAUGGUCCCAAUUCAGAAUACAAGAUUUUUAAAUGAGCAAGACAAAUUUUGAUUAACAAUAUUAAUGUUGCUAUUUUAAUAUUUGCUACUCUCUAUCUUCUCUCUCUUUUCCUAUUUCUCUCUUCUUCUGUCAACACACUCAUGAUUAUCUGAAUUUACAUUUAAUAUUCGAAAAUUAUUUUCUGUAGUCUCUUUGAAAAAGUCUGUAUUGAUUUUUCAAAACAAAAGAGCUUUGUUCCCUUUUCUUUUCUUGCAAUGUUUGUACCUCCUUUGGCAAAAUAAAGUUUAUUUCCAUACUUUCUCUUGAAUUCAAGUAAAUAAAAAAACACACACACACAUUUCCUAAAAUGAAGAAAUAGGUUAUGUCAGAAAAAUUAACCAUGUACUGAGUGAUUAAACUAUUUUGUGUAGAAAUGUCAUUUCUAUUUUGUUUAAAUGUAAUGCAAUUUACCAGACCAUAAAGAACUCCUUAGAUGAAAUGGCUGUUUUCCAGGCAAUGCUACUCUGCUGCUGAUUGCAAUAUAUUCUGACAUCUAUGACAGUUUUAUAAUUCUUCUAUUCUGUGCUCUGAAGUGUCCCUACUUUGCUGAAGGUUUUCUCCUGGGAAAAGGCACUACAGUUUUGUGGACUGAAAGGACAAUAAACAGUUUGAUGG
rnacentral:lncRNA from 10 species